GACGAACGCUGGCGGCGUGCUUAACACAAUGCAAGUCGAGCGGUAAGGCCCUUUCGGGGGGUACACGAGCGGCGAACGGGUGAGUAACACGUGGGUGACCUGCCCUCAGCUCUGGGAUAAGCCCGGGAAACUGGGUCUAAUACCGGAUAUGACUCCAUGACGCAUGUUGUGGGGUGGAAAGCCUUGUGCGGCUGAGGAUGGGCCCGCGGCCUAUCAGCUUGUUGGUGGGGUGAUGGCCUACCAAGGCGACGACGGGUAGCCGGCCUGAGAGGGCGACCGGCCACACUGGGACUGAGAUACGGCCCAGACUCCUACGGGAGGCAGC
rnacentral:rRNA from 1 species